AUUGAACGCUGGCGGCAUGGCUAAAGCAUGCAAGUCGUACGAGAGGCGGGCUUCGGCCCGUGGACAGUGGCGUAAGGGCGAGUAACGCGUUCCAACGUACCCCGAGGUGGGAUAGGUCGGGAAACCCGGCGUAAUACCCACUGUUCUCUCCGGAGAAAGACUACGGCGCCUUGGGAGCGGGGAGCGUCCUAUCAGGUUGUUGGUGGGGUAAGUGGCCUACCAAGCCAGAGACGGGUAGGGUGGUGAGCGCAUGACCCGCCGCAUCGGGACUGAGACACUGCCCGGACUCCUACAGGAGGCUGCAGCGACGAAUAUUCCGCAAUGCGCGAAAGCGUGACGAGCAAUGCCGCGUGUGGGAUGAAGCGGCUUCGUCGUGUAAACCACUGUCAGGGUCUAGGAAUAUUGACCAGA
rnacentral:rRNA from 1 species